GUGGGGAAUCUUCCGCAAUGGACGAAAGUCUGACGGAGCAACGCCGCGUGAGUGAAGAAGGUUUUCGGAUCGUAAAGCUCUUUCGUUAGGGACGAACGUGCUCUUUGUGAAUAAUGAGGAGUAAUGACGGUACCUAAAUAAGAAGCCACGGCUAACUACGUGCCAGCAGCCGCGGUAAUACGUAGGUGGCAAGCGUUGUCCGGAAUUAUUGGGCGUAAAGCGCGCGCAGGCGGGAUAUCAAGUCUGUCUUAAAAGUGCGAGGCUCAACCUCAUGAGGGGACAGAAACUGGUAUUCUUGAGUGUCGGAGAGGAAAGUGGAAUUCCAAGUGUAGCGGUGAAAUGCGUAGAGAUUUGGAAGAACACCAGUGGCGAAGGCGACUUUCUGGACGAUGUCUGACGCUGAGGCGCGAAAGCUAGGGGAGCGAACGGGAUUAGAUACCCCUGUAGUCC
rnacentral:rRNA from 1 species